rnacentral:rRNA from 1 species
CAGCCAUGCCGCGUGUCUGAAGAAGGCCUUCGGGUUGUAAAGGACUUUUGUCAGGGAAGAAAAGGCCGUUGCCAAUAUCGGCGGCCGAUGACGGUACCUGAAGAAUAAGCACCGGCUAACUACGUGCCAGCAGCCGCGGUAAUACGUAGGGUGCGAGCGUUAAUCGGAAUUACUGGGCGUAAAGCGGGCGCAGACGGUUACUUAAGCAGGAUGUGAAAUCCCCGGGCUCAACCCGGGAACUGCGUUCUGAACUGGGUGACUCGAGUGUGUCAGAGGGAGGUGGAAUUCCACGUGUAGCAGUGAAAUGCGUAGAGAUGUGGAGGAAUACCGAUGGCGAAGGCAGCCUCCUGGGAUAACACUGACGUUCAUGUCCGAAAGCGUGGGUAGCAAACAGGAUUAGAUACCCUGGUAGUCCACGCCCUAAACGAUGUCAAUUAGCUGUUGGGCAACUUGAUUGCUUGGUAGCGUAGCUAACGCGUGAAAUUGACCGCCUGGGGAGUACGGUCGCAAGAUUAAAACUCAAAGGAAUUGACGGGGACCCGCACAAGCGGUGGAUGAUGUGGAUUAAUUCGAUGCAACGCGAAGAACCUUACCUGGUUUUGACAUGUGCGGAAUCCUCCGGAGACGGAGGAGUGCCUUCGGGAGCCGUAACACAGGUGCUGCAUGGCUGUCGUCAGCUCGUGUCGUGAGAUGUUGGGUUAAGUCCCGCAACGAGCGCAACCCUUGUCAUUAGUUGCCAUCAUUCGGUUGGGCACUCUAAUGAGACUGCCGGUGACAAGCCGGAGGAAGGUGGGGAUGACGUCAAGUCCUCAUGGCCCUUAUGACCAGGGCUUCACACGUCAUACAAUGGUCGGUACAGAGGGUAGCCAAGCCGCGAGGCGGAGCCAAUCUCACAAAACCGAUCGUAGUCCGGAUUGCACUCUGCAACUCGAGUGCAUGAAGUCGGAAUCGCUAGUAAUCGCAGGUCAGCAUACUGCGGUGAAUACGUUCCCGGGUCUUGUACACACCGCCCGUCACACCAUGGGAGUGGGGGAUACCAGAAGUAGGUAGGGUAACCGCAAGGAGCCCGCUUACCACGGUAUGCUUCAUGACUGGGGUGAAGUCGUAACAAGGUAGCCGUAGGGGAACCUGCGGCUGGAUCACCUCCUUUCUA